rnacentral:misc_RNA from 1 species
GAUGAAGAACGUAGGGAAAUGCGAUACUUGGUGAGAAUUGCAGAGUCCCGUGAACCAUCGAGUUUUUGAACGCAAGUUGCGCCCGAAGCCGUUAGGCCGAGGGCACGCCUGCCUGGGUGUCACACAUCGUUGCCCCAAUGCUAAUCGCCUCACUUUGUAGGUAUUUGCUUGGGGUGAAUGUUGGCCUCCCGUGAGCUUUGUCUCACGGUUGGUUGAAAAUCGAGUGCAUGGUGUCGGGUGUACCAUGAUGGAUGGUGGUUGAGUGAUGAUGCUCGAGACCAAUCAUGGGUAACUCCACCAGAAUUGGGCUCGGUGACCCACAUGCGUCCCUUGGAUGCUCCCUAAGGAGACCUCAGGACAGGCGGGGCUACCCGCUGAGUUUAAGCAUAUCAAUAAGCGGAGGA